rnacentral:lncRNA from 1 species
GUUUGUUUCUGACUAGUAACUAGGAGCUCAGUGUCUUUGGCCUCUCACACUGACCUUAAGGCAAAUGCCUUUGAACCGUCCACUCCAGUCUGUCAAUCCUCCUUGAAGAAUGGUCCAGCCUGCACUGCUGCUUUUUACCAUCAGGGGGCAGUGGGGCCAUGAGUGCCCAGGGAGACAGGGAAGGAUGCUUAGCACCUGGCGAGUGGGAGGAAGUGUCUCUCAGUGUUUGCACUUAAAGCAUCUCAGUAGCUAGAUACUUCAUUGGUACGAAUGGUGUAUUUUCUUCUAAAUUUUGUGCAAUCCAAAAAGGCAGGAAGUUUGAUCUUAAUGCAUUUUCCAUGGUCAUCUAUUUCACUCUGAGCCAAGAAUUUAUUAGGAAAACGAAAAGAAUUGCAAGAAUAACUUUAGAUUGACAUUUCUCCAUUUUCCUACUUGUCGAAUAGGUUUGGUACGUGUUCUGAAGGAACACGGUGCCAGUUGAAAUGGUGCUCUGCUUUCUUCCCUGUUAUUCUGAAAUAGAUGUGCUUUUCACACACAUGGAUAGACCAUUUACUCCUGAUUUGUAUCUCAGGGACAAAUCUGACUUAUUAACACCAUUAUUUGUAAACUGCUAGCCUGGUUUCCUGUGCUGUUGUAACGCUAUCUUGAUGGGUUGCUGUGAAAAUGUGAAGAUGUCUGUCAGGCAGGAAAAAUUAUGUAAAAAUGAUGUGGGUAUAGAAAAUGGGAUCGACAAAAUGUAAUAAACUCCUCCUGGGCUGAACAGCAGAGCUGCAUAUGUAAUGAAGUACUUUAGGAUUACGUCACCUUUUAUAUAACAUCUGGCAGUGACUUUUAUUUCAGAGCUAAUUUGGAGAAGCCAGGCACUUUUCUCUUCCCCUCCCCAAGACUGCCUUUAUCUGAAAGACGAAAGAAGGAACUGUUACAUUUUGCAUGCAAAGAAAGCCAGAGUGGCUAGAUUACUCCCUUAGGGUAAUGGAGAAAGGAAAAAGAAAUUGAAAAAGGUCAGGUGAACAAAGCAGAAGGAAUGAAGAGGUUUGUGUGAUUCUUAGUGAAAUUGGACCAGUCUAAGCAACCAGACAGUGCAGUUCAGGAAACCAGGCUGAAGAAUGUGAAAUACAUCGCCCAAAGUCAGACACGGAGGAACAACUGCUUCGGAGCUAGCAAUUUCCUGAGCUGGAAUUGCACCACUGGCCUGUAGAAUCCAAACUGUUUUCUACCAGAACAACUCCUUCCCUGCAGGAAGCAGGGUGUGCACAGCUGAACCCUGGUCUGAGAAGGUUGAAGUCACUGACUCAGCCCCAGCAAGGAAGUUGCCCUUCGACUUCUGACCUCUGGCCCUGUUUGAAAACCAACUCAAAUCGUUUUUCUUUUUCAGAAGCUGCUUGCCUCCGCUUCACCUUCCACCAUGAUUGUAAGUUUCCUGAGGCCUCCCAGUCAUGCUUGCCGUUAAAACUGUGGAACUGGCCUGAAAUAACUCGGUGACUAAGGAAUUUCAUUGAGAAAAAAGACAAAAACAAAACAAAUACUUUGUCUUUUGGAAUAAAUGAAUCCUUACAGAAGAGUGGUAAAAUGAACACGAGUUUGGAUCUGUGGAGCCAUUAUUAAGUAAUGAAGACUGAAUUCACCUUCUUUGGGCUGAAGCGAAAUAGAGAUGAAAAUCCCUUCAAUAAUAGAUAUCUACCCACUCCAUGGCCUCUACACCCGCUACUACCCACAUCUGCUGCACAUGAUGGAAACAUUGUUAUUCAUUUGGUUAAUCAUCAAACUCCCAUUGAACACAUACUCCAUUAUGCACUGAAUUAUUACAUUCUGUAAUUCCAAGUAGAAGAGAAUCUAAGAGCUUGUAUUCACAAAUAACUUGUCUGAAGAAAUAACAUCAAAAGAAUAUGGCAUCUCAAAUGAUUAUGAAAAUCACCCUUCAUAGAAGAUGGCGGAUUAUGUUUGUUGCAUUGUUUCUGUAAUGGGACUGAUAGUUUGUGCUGAAUAAUUCAUGCUAUUUGCCCAAGCCCCUUGAAAGUGCUGGCAUAUCUCUGAGGGACAGCUGGCUGAGAUUAUGGGACAUACUAUUGCCACAGACUUGAAUAUUGCCAAAUGGCCUCUUGGAGAUUUUUUUUGGUAGUGCAGUGUUUGCAAUGCUGUCUGUGGAAUUAUGCAGACCUGGGUUCAAAUUCUAACUCUACCCUUUGACUUGGACAAGGGAUUUAACCUCUUUUAGUCUCAAUUUCCUUGUAUGUAAAAUGAAAGUAGUAAUCCAUCCUUAUUGGGAUUUAUACAUAUAAUGUUAUAGGAACAGAAAUUUCAUUGUUUUAAUGAAAACUCCUUUUUCAAGGAGGUUGGGUCUGGUUAAAGGGAAUGUCCCUUUCCUAUUUAGUGCCUUGGGUUUGGUUGUGAAAACCUAGUAAGAGGAGUUGAGGGGUAGGUGGGUACUGGGAGAGCUCCAUUCUUUUUAGAAGAAGAAGAAUGGGGUGAGGAGAAGAGAAGGGAGGAGAGAGGCAAGAGGAGUCAGCCAAAAGGAGUGAAGCAGGAGGGCGAUGAGGCCAACAAAUUGGCAAGGUGGUGGUUGUG